UACGAAGGGGGCUAGCGUUGUUCGGAAUUGCUGGGCGUAAAGCGCACGCAGGUGGUUUUAUAAGUCAGGGGUGAAAUCCCGGGGCUCAACCUCGGAAUUGCCUUUGAUACUGUCUAUCUUGAGUCCGGGAGAGGUGAGUGGAAUUCCUAGUGUAGAGGUGAAAUUCGUAGAUAUUAGGAAGAACACCAGUGGCGAAGGCGGCUCACUGGCCCGGUACUGACGCUCAAGUGCGUAAGCGUGAGGAGCAAACAGG
rnacentral:rRNA from 1 species